rnacentral:rRNA from 1 species
UAGGGAAUCUUCGGCAAUGGACGAAAGUCUGACCGAGCGACGCCGCGUGAGUGAAGAAGGUUUUCGGAUCGUAAAACUCUGUUGGUAGAGAAGAACGUUGGUGAGAGUGGAAAGCUCAUCAAGUGACGGUAACUACCCAGAAAGGGACGGCUAACUACGUGCCAG